rnacentral:tRNA from 1 species
UCCCUAGUGGUCUAGCGGUUAGGAUUCUGUGCUUUCACUGCAGAAGAUGUGGGUUCAAUCCCUGGUUGGGGAA